UCAAGUGACUAAGUGCAUGUGGCGGAUGCCUUGGCGAUCACAGGCGAAGAAAGACGCGGCAGCCUGCGAAAAGCUGCGGGGAGCUGGCAAACGAGCUUUGAUCCGCAGAUAUCUGAAUGGGGGAACCCACACCGCAAGGUGUAUCCGUAGCUGAAUACAUAGGUUACGGAGGCGAACGAGGAGAACUGAAACAUCUAAGUAUCCUCAGGAAAAGAAAUCAACCGAGAUUCCGGCAGUAGCGGCGAGCGAACCCGGAGGAGCCUAGCUUUUGAUAGUACGAACUUUAGCCGAAAGGUCCUGGAAAGGCCUGCUAUAGUGGGUGAUAGCCCCGUAGGCGAAAGAGUUGGUACGGUACUAAGGAAGCGAGAAGUAGAGCGGGACACGUGGAAUCCUGUUCGAAGACGGGGGGACCAUCCUCCAAGGCUAAAUACUCGUGAUCGACCGAUAGUGAACCAGUACCGUGAGGGAAAGGCGAAAAGAACCCCGGGAGGGGAGUGAAAUAGAACCUGAAACCGCAUGCAUACAAACAGUAGGAGCCUCAUCAGAGGUGACUGCGUACCUUUUGCAUAAUGGGUCAGCGACUUACAUUCUGUGGCGAGCUUAACCGAAUAGGGGAGGCGCAGCGAAAGCGAGUUCGAAAUGAGCGUCCAGUCGCAGGGUGUAGACCCGAAACCAGAUGAGCUAUCCAUGGCCAGGUUGAAGGUGUGGUAACACACACUGGAGGACCGAACCGACUAGUGUUGCAAAAUUAGCGGAUGAGCUGUGGAUAGGGGUGAAAGGCCAAACAAAUCUGGAGAUAGCUGGUUCUCCCCGAAAACUAUUGAGGUAGUGCCUCGUGUGUCGCUCCAGGGGGUAGAGCACUGUUUUGGCUAGGGGGACAUGGAGUCUUACCAAACCAAGGCAAACUCCGAAUACCUGGAAGCGUAAGCACGGGAGACAGAGCACCGGGUGCUAACGUCCGGACUCAAAAGGGAAACAACCCAGACCGCCGGCUAAGGUCCCAAAUAACAGCUAAGUGGAAAACGAAGUGGAAAGGCCGUGACAACCAGGAAGUUGGCUUAGAAGCAGCCAUCCUUCAAAGAAAGCGUAAUAGCUCACUGGUCGAGUCCUUCUGCGCGGAAGAUGUAACGGGGCUAAGCUGUUAACCGAAGCCGCGGAUGCACUGGUUAUCCAGUGCGUGGUAGGGGAGCGUUCUGUAAGUCUGCGAAGGCGGUUCGAGAGGACUGCUGGAGAUAUCAGAAGUGCGAAUGCUGACAUGAGUAACGUUAAAGCAGGUGAAAAGCCUGCUCGCCGUAAGCCCAAGGAUUCCUGCUCUACGUUCAUCGGAGCAGGGUGAGUCGGCUCCUAAGGUCAGGCCGAAAGGCGUAGCCGAUGGGAAUCAGGUUAAUAUUCCUGAACCUGCGUCAGAUGCGAUGGGGGGACGGAGCAUGGAAGAUCAUCCGGGUGUUGGAAGUCCCGGUUGUUUAGCGUAGGAGGUCUGCAGGCAAAUCCGCAGACGCAUCUCCAAGGCAAAGACACGUGCCGCCACGGCGGCGAAGUGAUCGGAAGUGCUUCCAAGAAAAGCCUCUAAGCCCCAGUCUGACGCGGACCGUACCGCAAACCGACACUGGUGGGCGAGCUGAAUAUGCUCAGGCGCUUGAGAGAACUCGGGAGAAGGAACUCGGCAAAUUGACACCGUAACUUCGGAAGAAGGUGUGCCGUAGUACCGUGAGAGGAGAGACACCUUGAGCGGGAAACGGUCUCAGAGAAUAGGUGGCUGCGACUGUUUAUUAAAAACACAGCACUCUGCAAAGUCGAAAGACGACGUAUAGGGUGUGAUGCCUGCCCGGUGCUGGAAGAUUAAUUGAUGGGGUGAGAGCCCUUGAUCGAAGUCCCAGUAAACGGCGGCCGUAACUAUAACGGUCCUAAGGUAGCGAAAUUCCUUGUCGGGUAAGUUCCG
rnacentral:rRNA from 1 species